CCUACGGGAGGCAGCAGUGAGGAAUAUUGGUCAAUGGCCGUAAGGCUGAACCAGCCAAGUCGCGUGAAGGAAGAAGGAUCUAUGGUUUGUAAACUUCUUUUAUAGGGGAAUAAAGGGAGCCACGUGUGGAUAUUUGCAUGUACCCUAUGAAUAAGCAUCGGCUAACUCCGUGCCAGCAGCCGCGGUAAUACGGAGGAUGCGAGCGUUAUCCGGAUUUAUUGGGUUUAAAGGGUGCGUAGGUUGUUGUUUCAGUCAGCGGGGAAAGUUUGUGGCUCAACCCUAAAAUUGCCGUUGAAACUGGCAGCCUUGAGUGUGUUUGAGGUAGGCUGAAUGCGUGGUGUAGCGGUGAAAUGCAUCGAUAUCACGCAGAACUCCGAUUGCGAAGGCAGCUUACUACGCCAUACCUGACACUGCGGCACGAAAGCGUGGGGAUCAAACAGGAUUAGAUACCCUAGUAGUC
rnacentral:rRNA from 1 species